GACGAACGCUGGCGGCGGGCUUAACACAUGCAAGUCGAACGGAAACGCCCUGCUUUUUUGGGGUUCUCGAGUGGCGAACGGGUGCGUAACACGUGAGUAACCUGCCCUUGUCUUUGGGAUAACUUCACGAAACUGGGGCUAAUACCGUAUAGGAUCUCCUGCUCCAUGGUGGGGGUUGGAUAUUUUCGGCGGUUGGGGAUGGACUCGCGGCUUAUCAGCUUGUUGGUGGGCUAGUGGCUUACCCAGGCUUUGACGGGUAGCCGGCCUGAGAGGGUGACCGGCGACAUUGGGACUGCGAGACGCCCCAGAGUCCUACGGGAGGCAGCAGUGGGGAAUCUUGCACAAUGGGCGGAAGCCUGAUGCAGCGGCGCCGCGGGUGGGAUGACGGCUUGCGGGUUGUAAAACGCAUCAGCUUAUGACGAAGCGUGAGUGACGGUAAUGGGUAAAGAAGCACCGGCUAACUUCGUG
rnacentral:rRNA from 1 species